AUUGGCAAACACGCAACUUGAAAUAGUAUUUGUCUUCAUCACUUGCUUCAGCCCUGUCCUUAAAAACAUGCUUUUAUUUAAAACAGGUACAGCACACAGAAAUAAUGAGAGAAAGAAACAGAUUCAUGGUUGAGGUUUCUUUCCCCAGAGGUUCUCCCAGCUUUUUGCCUGCAGUCGUCCUCGGUUGAAGAGGAUGUUUGCCAACAGAAGUCUUUGUUUGACAAUCCUUUCUGUUAACCCAGUUUUAUGAAUUGUGUCAGCACUUGCUGAUUGUCUGUUAUCUAUCAGCAGAUAAGUGCCUCCUUUCAGGCGCUGGCAAUAAAAUGCUCAAUGUGGA